GAUGAAGAACGCAGCGAAAUGCGAUAAGUAAUGUGAAUUGCAGAAUUCAGUGAAUCAUCGAAUCUUUGAACGCACAUUGCGCCCCCCAGUAUUCUGGCGGGCAUGCCUGUUCGAGCGUCAUUUCAACCAUCAAGCCCUGCUUGUGUUGGGGUCCUGCGGCUGCCCGCAGGCCCUGAAAACCAGUGGCGGGCUCGCUAGUCACACCGAGCGCAGUAGCACAUCUCGCUCAGGGCGUGCGGCGGGCUCCAGCCGUUAAUGCACCCACCUUUCGCAAGGUUGACCUCGGAUCAGGUAGGAAUACCCGCUGAACUUAAGCAUAUCAAUAAGCGGAGGA
rnacentral:misc_RNA from 1 species